rnacentral:rRNA from 1 species
CUAAUACGUGCACAACCCCGACUCCUGGAAGGGAUGCAUUUAUUAGAUAAAAGGCGGACGCGGCUGUCCGUCGCUCUGAUGAUCAUGAUAACUUGACGGAUCGCACGGCCCUGUGCCGGCGACGCAUCAAUCAAAUUUCUGCCCUAUCAACUUUCGAUGGUAGGAUAUGGCCUACGACGGUGGUGACGGGUGACGGAGAUUAGGGUU